rnacentral:rRNA from 1 species
CCUACGGGAGACUGCAGUGAGGAAUAUUGGUCAAUGGACGGAAGUCUGAACCAGCCAUGCCGCGUGCAGGAAGACGGCUCUCUGAGUUGUAACCUGCUUUUGUACAAGGGUAAACCUGAAUACGUGUAUUCAGCUGAAAGUACUGUACGAAUAAGGAUCGGUUAACUCCGUGCCAGCAGCCGCGGUAAUACGGAGGAUCCAAGCGUUAUCCGGAUUGAUUGGGUGUAAGGGGUGCGUAGGCGGAUUGAUAAGUUAGAGGUGAAAUGUCCGAGUUUAACUCGGGAACUGCCUCUAAUACUGUUGAUCUAGAGAGUAGAUGCGGUAGGCGGAAUGUAUGGUGUAGCGGUGAAAUGCUUAGAGAUCAUACAGAACACCGAUUGCGAAGGCAGCUUACCAAUCUAUAUCUGACGUUGAGGCACGAAAGCGUGGGGAGCAAACAGGAUUAGAUACCCCGGUAGUC